rnacentral:lncRNA from 1 species
UUGCUCUCCUCACUUCUCUCUCCCAUAUAUAUAAACAUUCUUUUCUUUAUCUCUCUCAUAUUCUCUCAUUGGGCCUUCUUUAUUGUUCUUUUGGGCCUCUUUUACACUCAAUGGGCUUUUUUUUAUUUCUUUCAGCCUCUUUUCUCUCAAUGGGCCUUUUUUUUCUUUUUGGCCUCUUUUCUUUCUUUUUCUGAAUAUCCUUCAAAUGAUUCUUGAUUUUGAUUUUAU